rnacentral:rRNA from 1 species
GCUCAGAGUUAACGUUGGCGGCGUGCCUAACACAUGCAAGUCGAACGCGCCGUAGCAAUACGGUGAGUGGCGAACGGGUGAGUAACACGUGGGUAAUCUUCCUUCAAGUGGGGAAUAAGCUCUCGAAAGGGAGUCUAAUACCGCAUGACGUUCCGGGACAUAAGUCCCGUAAUUAAAGCCGCAAGGCGCUUGAAGAUGAGCCUGCGUCCUAUUAGCUAGUUGGUAGGGUAACGGCCUACCAAGGCUGAGAUGGGUAGCCGGCCUGAGAGGGUGAACGGCCACACUGGAACUGAGACACGGUCCAGACUCCUACGGGAGGCAGCAGUGAGGAAUUUUGCGCAAUGGGGGAAACCCUGACGCAGCGACGCCGCGUGGAGGACGAAGGCCUUCGGGUCGUAAACUCCUGUCAGAGGUGAAGAAUACCCGCAAGGGUUUGACGGUAACCUCAGAGGAAGCCCCGGCUAACUACGUGCCAGCAGCCGCGGUAAUACGUAGGGGGCAAACGUUACUCGGAAUUACUGGGCGUAAAGGGUGCGUAGGCGGCUGGGAAAGUCAAGGAUGAAAUCCCGUGGCUUAACUGCGGAACUGUCCUUGAAACUUCCCAGCUUGAGGAUAAUCGAAGAGAACGGAAUUCCCGGUGGAGCGGUGAAAUGCGUAGAUAUCGGGAGGAACACCUGAGGCGAAAGCGGUUCUCUAGACUACUCCUGACGCUGAGGCACGAAAGCUAGGGGAGCAAACGGGAUUAGAUACCCCGGUAGUCCUAGCCAUCAACGAUGGAUACUGGAUAUUCCUGCACUCAUGUGGGAGUGUCGAAGCUAACGCGUUAAGUAUCCCGCCUGGGGAGUACGGUCGCAAGAUUGAAACUCAAAUGAAUUGACGG